AUUGAACGCUGGCGGCAUGCUUUACACAUGCAAGUCGAACGGCAGCGGGGUAGUGCUUGCACUACUGCCGGCGAGUGGCGAACGGGUGAGUAAUAUAUCGGAACGUACCGAGUAAUGGGGGAUAACCAAUCGAAAGAUUGGCUAAUACCGCAUACGUCCUGAGGGAGAAAGCGGGGGAUCGCAAGACCUCGCGUUAUUCGAGCGGCCGAUAACUGAUUAGCUAGUUGGUGGGGUAAAGGCCUACCAAGGCGACGAUCAGUAGCGGGUCUGAGAGGACGAUCAGCCACACUGGGACUGAGACACGGCCCAGACUCCUACGGGAGGCAGCAGUGGGGAAUUUUGGACAAUGGGGGCAACCCUGAUCCAGCCAUGCCGCGUGUAUGAAGAAGGCCUUCGGGUUGUAAAGUACUUUUGUUAGGGAAGAAAAGGGAAGUGCUAAUACCACGGUUUGCUGACGGUACCUAAAGAAUAAGCACCGGCUAACUACGUG
rnacentral:rRNA from 1 species